UUUGAUGGCGACCGGCGCACGGGUGAGUAACACGUAUCCAACCUGCCGAUGACUCGGGGAUAGCCUUUCGAAAGAAAGAUUAAUACCCGAUGGCAUAGUUCUUCCGCAUGGUAGAACUAUUAAAGGAUUUCGGUCAUCGAUGGGGAUGCGUUCCAUUAGGUUGUUGGCGGGGUAACGGCCCACCAAGCCUUCGAUGGAUAGGGGUUCUGAGAGGAAGGUCCCCCACAUUGGGACUGAGACACGGUCCAA
rnacentral:rRNA from 1 species